rnacentral:rRNA from 1 species
UACGAAGGGGGCGAGCGUUGUUCGGAAUUACUGGGCGUAAAGGGCGCGCAGGCGGCCCUUGAAGUCAGGCGUGAAAGCCCCGGGCUCAACCUGGGAGGUGCGCUUGAUACUCGAGGGCUUGAGUGCGGGAGAGGAGAGUGGAAUUCCCAGUGUAGAGGUGAAAUUCGUAGAGAUCCGGAAGAACACCGGUGGCGAAGGCGGCCUGCUGGGCAGUUGCUGACACUGAGGCGCGACAGCGUGGGGAGCAAACAGG